UUGCUGGAGAUAAGUUCAAUCAAGAAACCAGAAAAAUGGCGUAUUAACGUAGACAAAGACACUUUGGAGUGUAAUAUCAAAGACAACAACUACAACCUUGUGUCUGUACAAUGGAAGAUCAUCAACAAGGAYAAUAUACCAGACGACUUCCUUGCCAAGCCUAAGUUUGAAGAGAUUCGAGAUGCUGGCGGGAAACUCGUUGGUUCUCGUCUUCAUUUAUUGGAUGUCACUCCAGAAAACGCAAGACUGGAUUACGUCUGCGUAGCGACCAACGUCAACGGAGAAACACGCAAGACUGUGAACGUUCCUUGGCCUUUCCCCGUUUAAAGGUUUCUUUGCUGAAUUUGAUUCGAAAUCAGUCUGAUGAAGAAGCAAAAAGACUUCAAUCUUAGA